GACGAACGCUGGCGGCGCGCCUAACACAUGCAAGUCGAACGAGCGAGAGAGGGCUUGCUUUCUCAAGCGAGUGGCGAACGGGUGAGUAACGCGUGAGGAACCUGCCUCAAAGAGGGGGACAACAGUUGGAAACGACUGCUAAUACCGCAUAAGCCCACGACCCGGCAUCGGGUAGAGGGAAAAGGAGCAAUCCGCUUUGAGAUGGCCUCGCGUCCGAUUAGCUAGUUGGUGAGGUAACGGCCCACCAAGGCGACGAUCGGUAGCCGGACUGAGAGGUUGAACGGCCACAUUGGGACUGAGACACGGCCCAGACUCCUACGGGAGGCAGCAGUGGGGAAUAUUGCACAAUGGGGGAAACCCUGAUGCAGCGACGCCGCGUGGAGGAAGAAGGUCUUCGGAUUGUAAACUCCUGUUGUUGAGGAAGAUAAUGACGGUACUCAACAAGGAAGUGACGGCUAACUACGUG
rnacentral:rRNA from 1 species